rnacentral:rRNA from 1 species
GAGUUCAUCUUCUCUGUAACCACUGCGAACGUACCGUCGUUGCCUCGGCGGGUGCCCUCUGGGGUCCCGCCGCAGGCCUGUAACCUUCUGUAUUUUAGUGGCCUCUCGGAUCAGUUACCAAACAAGUUAAAACUUUCAGCAACGGAUCUCUUGGUUCUGGCAUCGAUGAAGAACGCAGCGAAAUGCGAUAAGUAAUGUGAAUUGCAGAAUUCAGUGAAUCAUCGAAUCUUUGAACGCAUAUUGCGCCCGCCGGCACUCCGGCGGGCACGCCUAUUCGAGCGUCAUUUCGACCCCUCGAGACCUCCUUUUCUGGCUGGUCUCGGUGUUGGGGCUUUCCACGGCGACGUGGGCCCCCAAAAGCAGUGGCGGGCUCGCUGUGUUCCGGGCGUAGUAGUUCAACUCGUCUUGGAGCCUCAGCGGGUGCUGGCCGUAAAACCCCCCCAACUCUCAGAGUUGACCUCGAAUUAGGCGGGGAUACCCGGCGAACUUAAGCAUAUCACUACCCGGAGGAAAAGAAACCAACAGGGAUUGCCCCAGUAACGGCGAGUGAAGCGGCAACAGCUCAGAUUUGAAAUCUCCCCUCGGGGCGAGUUGUAAUCUGUAGAGGAUGCUUCUGGGCGCGGCGUACCGCUAAGUCCCCUGGAACGGGGCGCCAUGGAGGGUGAGAGCCCCGUGAGCGGCGCGCCUAGCCCGUGUGAAGCUCCUUCGACGAGUCGAGUAGUUUGGGAUUGCUGCUCAAAAUGGGAGGUAGAUUCCUUCUAAAGCUAAAUACCGGCCAGAGACCGAUAGCGCACAAGUAGAGUGAUCGAAAGAUGAAAAGCACUUUGAAAAGAGGGUUAAAUAGCACGUGAAAUUGCUGAAAGGGAAGCGCUUGUGACCAGACUUGCGCGGGGGCGAUCAUCUCGCGUUCUCGCGGGUGCACUCGCCCCCGUUCAGGCCAGCGUCGGCUCUCCUGGAGGUACAAAGGCGUCGGGAAUGUAGCUCCCUCGGGAGUGUUAUAGACCGGCGCGCAAUGCCUCCGGGGGGGCCGAGACCG